UGAUACUAGGCUCCCAAGGUCAUGCGUUUCAUGCUUGCAUGAAAAAAGCAUGACCUUGGGACCCAUGAAACAUGAGAAAGUAGCCCGAAUAGGGCGGAUUUCGAAUGUUUUUAGGAUUGCGGGAGCACAAAGUGCGGAGCAAUCCGUAGGUAUCA
rnacentral:sRNA from 1 species